rnacentral:lncRNA from 1 species
ACCCAUUAGUUGUUUGUUUCCCAAUCCUCUCCCUCCUCCCAUCCUCCACCCUCUGAAAGGUCCCAGUGUGUGUUGUUCCCCUCUGUGUGUCCAUGUGUUCUCAUCAUUUAGCUCGCACUUAUAAAUGACAACAUGCAGUAUUUGGUUUUCUGUUCCUGCGUUAGUUUGCUAAGGAUAAUGGCCAUUAUCUUAGCCAUUUGAAAAUAAUGAUUUAACCUCUCUCACCUUCAUUGUCAUUUUAGAAGAAACUACCAUUUGGUGUCCUGCUGAGACAAGAAAAUAUUUUCACAACUCAAGACAAGUUAAAUAUCCACUUAUGGGAACAGUGCUGAAGGCCUGGACUAGGAUGGUAGCAAUGGAGACAGACUAAAGAAAGAGAUGCAAUCAUUCCCUUGCAUAUGGUCCGUAUGAAGACGGGAUCAUUACAGGAAAGGUGAAGGAGAUACAGUCAUUAUGCUCUAUAUACACCCAUUUUUAUGGCUAGCGGCUGAAGAUGGGAUGCUUUCUUUGCUGGAAGACCUAUUACCUGUUAGGUUGCAAAAGAUGUGAUCAUCUUCCUAAACAAUAAUUUAGAGUCCCAUAACAAUUUUAAGUGUGCUGUUCAUGAAAAUUUGAAUACAUUGUAUUGGGAAUAUAAUGGAAGUGAGAUGCCUCAUGUCGUGAGAAAAUCUGACAUAAACUCCUUAAGCAUGAGAGGCCAUGUGGGUAUGGAAGCCCUGAAAGGGAGGAAAAAACAGCCAGACCCUAGCUGUUCCAGUCAUCCCAACUGAGGUGCCAGACUUGUGAUUGAGGCCAUCUUGCAUCAUCUAGGCCUAGUAGAGCUGCCAACUGACUGCAGACACAUGAGUCAAUCCAGCUAAUGCCACAUGGAGCAGAGACAAGCCGCCCAGCUGAGCCCAGUCCAGAUGACAGAAUCAUGAGCAAAUAAGGUUGUUGUUCUUUUAAGCCACUAAAUUUUCGGGUGAUUUGUUACACAGUAAUAAAUAACUGAAACAACUAUGUACAGUUUAAUGAUCUGAAAUCAAUCCAUAGUGUUAUGAUAGCCUUUUUAACAAAAUUGAAAUGAUAACUUAUUCAUUUACAAUGCAAAUCAAUUUAAUGGCAAUAGUUACAACUGCCCUGAAAUGAUCUAAAGCCUCAUGAAGUUGAUUUAAUAUCUAGCUACCCAACAUACUUAAUCACAUGUUCACAGUUGAUGAAUAGUGACUGAAUCUCCAUGAGCAAGAUAAUAGUAAAGCUCUUUUUUUCUCUUUCUCUUUUUUUCCAGAUGAAUAAUUUUACAUUUACACUGAUAAAAAGUUAAAGUUGCAGCUCUGUUUUCACACUACCUGAGGGAUCUUUGUAGAUUACAUAAACCCUAAGCCUCCUGUGUAAGUUAAGGAAAAAAAUUCCAAACUCACAGUGUUAUCGAGAGGAUUAAAUAACAUAAUUUAUGCAAAGUCUUAACCAUAGUUGCUAGCAUUUAAACUUUAACUUUUGUCCAUGUCUCUAAUGUAAUUUAAAAUGAUCUUACUCUUUAAGGUUUGAUCUAAUAGAAUAUUUGUCAGACACAAAGACCAAGAUUUGUCCCAGUUGAUGAACCCUGGGUAUAACUCAAUAGCAUAUUGGCAGUUUUUAUUUUCUGUUAAGUCUGGAUCCAUUCAAUUAGUGAUUUAUUUCUUAAUUUGUCAAACAUUACAUUAACAAAGUAACAACUUUUCUAUCCAUAUUAUAUUGUGGUUACAAAAAAUGGAUCAAUUAUAUUUGAAUUAAAAAAUUUAAUUGCCACCAAAGAAGAGAAAAAUAACUAGAGAAAAAUAAAAGAGAUGUGUCAAGAAGGAAUAAAGAGGCUGAUAACAUGAGAUCUCUUCUAGCUUUGAAACAUGUCUUGUGAAAUGACUAAAAUUUUAAAAGCUAGGAUCAAGUAUUGGUGAGGAGAUGAAGUAAUUCUAAGUCUCAUCCAUUGCUAAUGGGGUAUACAUUGGUUUAACCAGUUUGGAGGACUGUUUGGUAAUGUCCAAAUAUUUAUUAAAGUUAAACCUACUCCUAAGUCUUAUAGCCCAGAAAUUUCAAACCUAGGUAAAUACCUAAGAGAAAUAAGAGUACAUGUCUUCCAAAAGAUCUAUACAAGAAUGUGUAUAGCAGCCAUAGUCAUAACUCCCUAAAACUGGAAAUGACCCAAAUGUCCAUAAAAAGGGAAAUGGAUACAUGUAUCAUUACAUAUUUAUCUAAUGAAUUGCUAUGUCGCUGUAAGAAUGAGCAACCCACUGAUACAUGCCACAGUAUCAUGAAUCACAUAGACAGUAUGCUGCCUGAAAUAAGCCAAAAUAAAAAAUGUCUUAUUUCACUUAUAUGAAGUUCUAGAAUAUGUAAACGUGAUUUAUGAUGACAGAAAUUAAAAUAGCAGUUCCCUUUGCAUAGGGGGAGCGUAUUCAUUACGGAAGUGUAUGAUAAAACAUUGUACAUUGGUGGAAUGUUCUAUAUCUUCACUUGAGUGUUUACCAGGAUAUAUGUCCACAAAAAAGUUAGGAAUCCAUACUUAAGAUUUGUGCCCUUUAUAAUAUGUGUGUUAUACAGCCACUGAAAAUAAAUUGAUAGAUAAAAA